CGUGACCUACACACCAUGUCCUCCUUUACUACAGGGCAUAGUUUUGCAUUCUGAGUACCAUUUUUGUGUAUUGCAUAAAGCAAGGGUAGAUGAAGAAAUAAAUAUGUGACUAUAUGGCUGGUCUUUAUUAUAAUGGUGUGCACUAAGUGGUGAAAUAAGGUUGCAUGGCAAUUUCUGAUCCAGGAUUUUCCUGAAAAUAGAAAUUGUUAUUAGACUUCCACUGUUUAUAAACAUAUUUUUGCAUGCAGGAAAUGCGCAUAUAUCCAUGCAUAGGUACACCUGCUUCACAUAACCUGUUCUACCAUUUUCUGGUUUUGACCCUGCAUACUAGUUAUGAACAAGAGCUAAUCUUAGCUAGCUAAUGAGAUCUGACAUGGUUGCAGUCCAUAGCAGUAUGGCUGGAGGCUAGAGGAUUUGUGUGUGUGUUGUUUUAUUCAUGUGUUGUCCAGGAGAGGACUGGAAACAUUAUGUAAGAGUGCUAAGCACUCAGUGUCAGCCUCUAGGCAAAAUACGGGUAAAUGACUCCUUCAAAAUAAAAUUAUAUAAAAUUUAACCUUUUUUUUUUUUUUAAUGGAAAGACAAUUUGUAAUGGAGCAUGUCUGUCUGUAACCUCAUCUGCCCUGUAUAAAUGCAGUGAAUGUCUAGAGAGGAGAACACUUACUAUAUAGUUAUAUCAGCAGCAGAUGUCGAGUACAAAGGAAUGUCUAUCAGCAAACUUUGAAAGAUGACACUAGGAGAACUUUUUUCUUAAUUACUGAUUAUAUUAAUGGGAAUACAACUACAAGCAUCAAGUGGUGUUUAGGUCUCUGACUUGGUAGAUGUUACAGCAGAAAACAGCAAUGAAAUUGCAAAGACUGUUCUACCAUCUGGACCUGAUUAGAACACAAUAUCAUUCUACCCAUAAGCACACUAUAUCAGUUUGUGAAGUUGAUUACAAAAGUCCAAAGUCACCUGCAGAUGCCCAGGCAAAAAAAAAGAUUACUUUAACAAGUGAAACAA